UGGCGCGGUUUGAAGCCGUUAAGCCACAGAGGCUGAGACGCUCAGAGGUCAUUUGGCAUAAGCGAAAAGGGCAUGAGGGCCUUUCUAAGAGAAGACUGUCCUAUCAGGAGAUAAUCCAGUAGUAGCCCGCGGCGGGAACGCCUGUUCUGGGUCUGUGGGUCGCGCCCACCUGCUCUUAACUCCUUGCGGUGAAGUUAAGUGUGGCCCAGUGGCUCCUGUCACUUCUCUAAUUUUCUUCUGCCUUUUAGAAAACGUCAACAAAGAAGGCAUUGAAGACCUCAAUUUAAAUCUGUUUGCAGCGAAUUAAAGAGAGAUGAAGCGAACGCAGCACGUGAAGACAAUUCCUUCAAGAAAUUUGGCUGUAAAGGAAAAGAGGCAUUUUAAAACUACAUAUCCUUAAAAUGUGUAUAUAAUUUGACUAAGGAAGUAUACUUCUAGGAAGUUCUCGAAAGGAAAGAAUCAAAACUGCACACAUAUAUUAAGCUGAAUGGAGUUCGUUUCAUCUUGUCCACCAAUGGAAGACUGCCAGUGGGAAUCUCUUCAGAUUAGCUUCUGAGUUCCAUCACACAGAGCUCUAAGUCUUUGAUAACUUCCUUCCCUUCUAAAUGACAAGUUGUUCCAGACUCAUCUUCAACAUUUCCUGAAGCAGACAUGCCAUCAGCCAUUUCUCCAAGGAAUCCUGGUUCCUUUUAAUGGGAAAUGGUGUUUUAGAGGCCGCGAUCUGCUAUUGGAAUUUCCUAAGCGGCUCACGUUAUAUUUUCAUUGGACAGGACUGCUCCAAACAAAUGAGAAGUCUACA